AUACGUAGGGGGCAAGCGUUGUCCGGAUUUACUGGGGUGUAAAGGGUGCUCAGGCGGGUUUGUAAGUCAGAGGUGAAACUCCGGAGCUUAACUCCGGAACUGCCUUUGAUACUGCAUCCCUAGAGUUUGAGAGAGGCGAGUGGAAUAUCUGGUGUAGCAGUGAAAUGCGUAGAUAUCAGAUAGAACACCAAUGGCGAAGGCAGCUCGCUGGCUCAAUACUGACGCUAAAGCACGAAAGUGUGGGGUAGC
rnacentral:rRNA from 1 species